GACAGAGGUGCCGAGCGUUAGACGGAAUCACUGGGCUUAAAGCGUGUGUAGGCGGGCCGUUACGUAUCUUGUGAAAUCCCCCGGCUCAACCGGGGAAUGGCUGGAUAUACUGGCGGUCUUGAGCGAUCUAGGGGCAGAUGGAACAAGUGGUGGAGCGGUGAAAUGCGUAGAUAUCACUUGGAACGCCAAAGGUGAAAACAGUCUGCUGGGGAUCUGCUGACGCUGAGACACGAAAGCCAGGGGAGCGAACGGG
rnacentral:rRNA from 1 species